GAUGAAGAACGCAGUGAAAUGCGAUAAGUAAUGUGAAUUGCAGAAUUCAGUGAAUCAUCGAAUCUUUGAACGCACAUUGCGCCCGUUAGCAUUCUAGCGGGCAUGCCUGUCCGAGCGUCAUUUCAACCCUCAGGGUCCCCGUUCCGGCGGGGAACCUGGUGUUGGGGAUCGGCCCGCCCCGUGCGGCGCCGUCCCCCAAAUUCAGUGGCGGUCUCGGUGCAGCCUCCCCUGCGUAGUAGUUACAACCUCGCAUCGGAGCUCAGCGCGGCCACGCCGUAAAACCCCCGACUUUCUGAACGUUGACCUCGGAUCAGGUAGGAAUACCCGCUGAACUUAAGCAUAUCAAUAAGCGGAGGA
rnacentral:misc_RNA from 1 species